AGUGACGACAUCGAGCACGCCAUUAAAAAGCAGUAGCCCGACUUCCCCGCUCUCUCGGCCUUAGCGCCAUCUUCCUUGGUGAGUCUCGUUGUAGCCGGUCUUCGGGCUUCGAGUACAAUCCAUUAGCAUCUGGCUUCAGCACUUGCCAUCAUUGCAGCAAAUUAACCGUAACUUUUUUCUCUUUUGCCGUAGACACCCCUGCGCCAUGAGAGCGAAGUGGAGGAAGAAGAGAAUGCGCAGACUGAAGCGCAAGAGAAGAAAGAUGAGGCAGAGGUCCAAGUAAACUCGCCCGCCCACCCGCGAAGGCCGCAGGAGCAGCAGUAAGGGACGCUGGAGGCCGGGACGCAGGGACAAGCUGGACUGAGCUGCAGCCGGAGGAAGUCUCGGGACCCGCGACCUCGCCACCCGCUCGCGGAGACCACCGAGAGACCGACGCCCUGCCGUCAUGACAACAGCCCCGCUGGCCCUUUGCCCUGGACCUGUGGCGUUCUGGACUAGUUCUGUCCUCACUUGUGGCCAAUUGUAACCCGUGUACAAUAAACCAUCUUUGUCGCUGUCAGCUGAAGAAUG